AAGGCUCCGCUCGUUAGAAUAAGCCAACCCCAGGCUGAUGGAUGGGGCAGAAGGAGGUCAUUGCGAAAGAGAAUACAGCGAUACGCGUGCACAAGAUGGGAAAUUUCUCUCCCCCCCCCCCCCCCCCCCCACUUUCUUUAUCCAGCCAACUCUAAUCUAUCAUAUUUCAUUGAGACAAAUCCUGCUCCGUUUCUUUCUCCUUUUUCCCUCGAAGGGAAAUAUGCUGGAACCUGCUCCUGGAUUUAAUAAGAAGAUGGUGCGGUGGCGCUGGAAUUAAAGCAGUGCCAUGGUUCAUUAGCAGCUGGGGAGCGCGCUGAGCUGGCCCAGAUGUUAAUUACACUUUGGGAAUUAAUUUCUAUAAGGCGCUCCUCUCCCCUAUCAUCCCUAAUCCAGCAGGCACGCCAGGACUUCUCAAAGUGGAAGCUGCAGGGUGGGCAUCUGUCCCCUCCUCUGUCUGUCCCCGCUGUCUGUCCCCUGUUUGUAUGUCCUGCUGCUAUGUGUCCCCCCAUUACUGUCCUUGGACCAUAGCUAGACAAGGCUGGCAGUCCUCAUGCGUGGUUCCAAGCCGUGCACAGUAGAUUCAGAGGCAGAGCCAAGCUGCUCCAUGCCCUGUGUUAAACACCCCAGUUUGGAGUUCCCCUAAAAUUGCAGAGGGAGAUGGAGACGGAAAGGCAGUGCCCGAGGGAUCGGCUGUCCCUUUGACAGUCCCCAGCAGAGGGCAAUAGAAGCAAAUGGAAGAGACAAGACUUUGCGAGUGAUGUGCAAGAGGAGUAGUUUGCAAGCCAGUGACAUACAGGCAGGAUGAUGUGCAAGCAGAGCCAUGUGCAAGUAGAAUAAUGUGCAAGCAGUGUGAUGUGCAAGCCCAACCAUGUGCAAGUGGAAUGAUGUGCAGGUAGGGGUAGGUGCAAGCACUGGCUUAUGCAAACAGAGCCACGUGCAAAUGGAAGCAAUGUACAGGUGAGGGCAAGGUGCAAAUGGAGCAAUGCACAGGGGGAACGAUGCAAAUGGGAGAUGUGCAAGUGAAGCAAUGCUUGGGGAGGUGGGGCUUGAGAAAGCAGUCAAAGCAAAAUAGAGCAAUUGAGGGGUAUUUUCAUCAAAUCAUAGAGUCAUUAAGGUUGGGAAAGUCCUAAGAUCAUCAGGUCCUACCACCAACCCAUCCCCACCAUGCCCACUACCCAUGUCCCUUGGUUCUCCCUUGGCAGGACUUAAAGCAAAUCAGUUCUCUGAGUGCAAACGAUUGCUUUAGGCUUGGAGGGAGAAGGAGAUCUUUGAGAGGAGGAGAAGAUAAUGUGGACAGUGUUUCUGCCUGGGUGUCCAGACCUGGCAUAUUUGGGGGGUGGGAAAUCAUCUCAUUAGAAUGACACCAAUGUCCCUAUCUUGCAUGUAUCCCCAUUUGUUCUGCAACAUGAUCCAGUAUGUUGGGAUUAUUACCUAUUCCAGCCUAAGCAAGUGGCAGACAGCUGUUUCCUAAUGGGGAAUUGUUAUGGCCACUUAUUAACGAACAAUGUGUCAUUAAGGGGGGAGAGCUUCAAGGGCUCCUAAGUGCCUUUAAAAGGCAACAGUGCAAGUGGAGCCCACUAUUGCAUAUCUGGGGGACAUGGGCAAAAUUUGUAACAAGGAAUAUACUGGGCCCAAUGUAAUUAACUAAUUCUCAAUCAAAAAGGUUUUAGAACUGAAUGGUCAGGGAAUUCAAUUAUGGGUUUCCUAAUGAAGCGCUGUGUGCCAAGGCGGGGGUAUUUUCUCCUGGAAAAUCAGGGAUGAGAUCAGGGCACAGCUCCUCCUGUGGGGCACACAUCCCCAGGGCAGCUGGAGAUGUUCCAUGAAGUGUGACCCCAUAGCUGAUUUUUGUCACCCCAUACCUGAUAUUUCUCAUCCCAUACCUGAUUUUGCCAUCCCAACAGCUCCUCUAAGCCAACACUGAUGGAUGGGGCUGGGGGACGUGGGUCCAUGCAGCCCAUCCCUUAGUACCUCCCAAGCCCCCUCCGGAGACCCCUGCAGGGGGGGUUUCCCCCCUCACCCCCCCCAAAUCCAGCCUCCAGUUAAAAGCAACAUUGUUCUCCAUCUAUGAAAGGAGCCUCCUCCAAUCCUUCAGUAGUUUCUCUUAUUAUAGAAAGUUGGUUUGCUCACUUUACAAAGGGAAAUGUAUUAUGAAUCUUCCCUUCAUUCCCUUCCUUUUUUUUCUCCACGUUUAACAACCGAUUUGUGUGUUGCAUGAAAGUUACACAGUUCUUUAGAUGCAUUUGCUAUUUUAUUUUCUUUCAUUCAAAAAUAUGUCAGUAAUCUUUUUGUUAACAUGAAAGAUAAAGGAUUAGUAAUGCAAGAUGCAGUUUUCUUGUAACCUUCUUGAAAGCAGACUAUAGUUUCUUAUCUGGCUCUAACAUUCAUUUUCC
ensembl:lncRNA